rnacentral:rRNA from 1 species
UACCAGCACCCCGAGUGGUCGGGACGUUUAUUGGGCCUAAAGCAUCCGUAGCCGGUUCUACGAGUCUUCCGUUAAAUCCAACUGCUUAACAGGUGGGCUGCGGAAGAUACUAUAGAGCUAGGAGGCGGGAGAGGCAAGCGGUACUCGAUGGGUAGGGGUAAAAUCCGUUGAUCCAUUGAAGACCACCAGUGGCGAAGGCGGCUUGCCAGAACGCGCUCGACGAUGAGGGAUGAAAGCUGGGGGAGCAAACCGG